rnacentral:lncRNA from 1 species
AGAGGGCACUGAAUGCUGCGGCACUCGGGUUAACAGAUGGUAGUGAGCUGUCUGAACUACUUAAAAUUUUCAGGUAAAAGGGCAGCAAGCAUUCUUAAACUGCUGAGCGGCCCUCUAGGUGUUCUUUGCUGGGGCAGGGGAGUUAGCAGGGAGGAAGUGGAGAGAACUGGGAGAGUUGAGACCCUCCUUCUGAGCGUUAAGCUGCAUGUAGAUAAUAUCUGCAGGUGUGGCACAAUUGAAAAGGCAGUGGCUUUCAGGCUAGUCACUGCACGGACUAGUAAGGCAGCUCUCUUGCUCCCAGCACCGUGCAUCUGAUUCUCCGUUCUCAGGGGGGACCCAGAGAAUAAUGGGUUCCAAGGUGGGAACUCGGGUGUGUCGAGGAUGGGAACGAAGCCAGAGACCAGAGGUACAAUUACUUCUGACACUCUUCACAGGACCACCUGACAUGGUUAAACAGCCCUGGCUUAACGUUCCAGACACUGCUGCCAAUACUUGCGGCUGUUAGUUCCUGAUUUCUGCUUAAGGCUUUGCAGUUCUGCUUAUAGUCCUGUGAUCAGAGACACUUCCUCCUGUGGCAGCUGAAUUCCACGUUUCCCGAAACAGGAUUUCCCUAUUUUGUAGAGAACUUCCAUGAUUGAAUCUUCCUGCUUCUGGAAAUAAAAUGGGUAGUCCCUUGCAUACAAAGCUUGGAGGGUGUCUCUCAUUCUUCUCUUCUUCUGCUUUUUCUCAUCUACCUGAGAAUAAUUUUAAAUGGAUCGAAGGAAUGAAUGUCAGCCACCAAACUGAGAAGUUGACUUGCCUUUAAUCACCUGUAACUUUGUUAGAAUAAUAAAUUCUGUAGAAAGCUAA